GCUGGGUGUGGGGGUGCACGCCUGUAUUCCCAGCUACUUGGGAGGCUGAGGCAGGAGAAUCGCUUGAACCCGGGAUGGGGAGGUUGCAGUGUGCUGAGAUCGUGCCACUGCACUCCAACCUGGGCAACAGAGUGAGACCCUGUCUCAA
rnacentral:SRP_RNA from 1 species